CUGCUAUGAUGAGAUUAUUCAACGUUUUUGAAAGCUCACCAAAGCUUGAUGUAACAUCGGCUUAAUUUUUAUCGUCGAUUCCGAGCGGUUAAGCAA